rnacentral:rRNA from 1 species
ACGGGUGCGGAACACGUGUGCAACCUGCCUUUAUCUUGGGGGAUAGCCUUUCGAAAAGGAAGAUUAAUACCCCAUAAUAUGUUGAAUGGCAUCAUUCGACAUUGAAAACUCCGGUGGAUAGAGAUGGGCACGCGCAAGAUUAGAUAGUUGGUGAGGUAACGGUUCACCAAGUCUACGAUCUUUAGGGGGGCCUGAGAGGGUGAUCCCCCAAACUGGUACUGAGACACGGACCAGAACUCCUACGGGAGGCAGCAGUUGAGGAAUAUGGGACCAAUGGGUGAAAGCCUGAUCCAGCCAUCCCGCGUGAAGGACGACUGCCCUAUGGGUUGUAAACUUCUUUGGUAUGGGGAUAAACCUACCCUCGUGAGGGGUAACCUGAAGGUACUAUACGAAUAAGCACCGGUUAAUUCCGUCGCCAGCAGCCGCGGGUAAUACGGAGGGUGCAAGCGUUAUCCGGGAUUAUGGGGUCAAAGGGUCCGUAGGCGGAUCUGUAAGUCAGUGGUGGAAAUCUCACAGUUAACUGUGAAACUGCCAUUGAUAACUGCAGGUCUUGAACGUGUNGGNUCGAAAGUACGCCUGGAACUCACAGUAGCUGUAGCG